GGCAAACAGGUGAGCCGAUGAAAAGCGAGACAGGUCAAAAGAAGAAGAAGAAGAAGGAGGUUUGUUAUGGGAACGACUCCUGAUAACAACUACCACUGACGGGGCUCUAGAGGCUGUGGGAACGACUCCUGAUAACAACUACCACUGACGGGGCUCUAGAGGCUGUGGGAACGACUCCUGAUAACAACUACCACUGACGGGGCUCUAGAGGCUGUGGGAACGACUCCUGAUAACAACUACCACUGACGGGGCUCUAGAGGCUGUGGGAACGACUCCUGAUAACAACUACCACUGACGGGGCUCUAGAGGCUGUGGGCCCACAGCCUAACUAGCCCCAUAAAACACCCACGAAGAAGAAGAAGAAGGGCCCACAGCCUAACUAGCCCCAUAAAACACCCACGAAGAAGAAGAAGAAGGGCCCACAGCCUAACUAGCCCCAUAAAACACCCACGAAGAAGUAUAAAUCUUCCUCCAAGAACAUCAUGGCAGCACAGCAAUGUUUACUUCUCCAUGCAGAGUGCUCUCUUCCAUCAGACUUGCAAGAUGCAUUUGUAACACCUCUGUUUCUUUCACAGGAGUCUGUGGCUGCCGGUGUUGAUCACAGGUAAGAUACACGUGCACCAGUGAUGACUGGACCUUCACAGACUACCUAAGGUGAGUGAUAACAGACACUGGAUGCCCUCCAGGCGAUGGCUGGGGGCUGUAUAACGCCAGCC